rnacentral:rRNA from 1 species
GAAGAAAGAGGGGGGCGUGCCUAAUACAUGCAAGUAGAACGCUGAAGGAGGAGCUUGCUUCUCUGGAUGAGUUGCGAACGGGUGAGUAACGCGUAGGUAACCUGCCUGGUAGCGGGGGAUAACUAUUGGAAACGAUAGCUAAUACCGCAUAAUAGUAGAUGUUGCAUGACAUUUGCUUAAAAGGUGCAAUUGCAUCACUACCAGAUGGACCUGCGUUGUAUUAGCUAGUUGGUGAGGUAACGGCUCACCAAGGCGACGAUACAUAGCCGACCUGAGAGGGUGAUCGGCCACACUGGGACUGAGACACGGCCCAGACUCCUACGGGAGGCAGCAGUAGGGAAUCUUCGGCAAUGGACGGAAGUCUGACCGAGCAACGCCGCGUGAGUGAAGAAGGUUUUCGGAUCGUAAAGCUCUGUUGUAAGAGAAGAACGAGUGUGAGAGUGGAAAGUUCACACUGUGACGGUAUCUUACCAGAAAGGGACGGCUAACUACGUG